rnacentral:rRNA from 3 species
CGACCCCAGGAUGGGCGGGAUGACCCG